GAGUUGUAUCUAUUAUUUUUAUAACUAGUACUUGGAUACCACUAAAGUUUGUCCUGAAAUUCCCAGUAUUGAUGUUGUUCUAAUUGUGACUGUAAUGUUCCUUUGAAUUACUGCUACUAGCUCCAUUGUAUACAUAGAUGCAGAUUCCAAAAAUGAUUGGUUUCUUGGCCUAACUUCCUUUGCUUCUCCUCUUGGAUGAGUAUGGAAAAAGAUUGUGUGACAGUGGGAAGGGGAUUCAUCAUAAGUAUACUCCCUCUCACUACGGUGUACACCUCAUUUAGUCCUAUUAGAAAAAAAUCAUCCUCCUAUCUUACUCAGCCUUUUCCAUGCUCAUCUUAGCCCCAUAUAUGUAUUGACAGGUACAUUUUGCAUAUGUAGUCAGGGCACUAAAAUCUUUCUACAACCUUUUCAUCUUCUUAUAGUAACCAGUGAUAUCUAGGGCUCUCUACCUCAGGACAUUGAUCUUUCUUUGCACAUGGUACAAUUUCACCCCAUUUGUUUGAUUAUAUCGAUAUUUUAAUUCCUACCAGAGUUCUCUAGCAUCAUUUAUGAAUUGUAGACUAUCUCCCAAAUCCUUCGUGAGCUAAUUAAGGAUCUAUGAAGUUACCAUAUCAUCACAAUGCAUCCAUUGUUCCUAGCUAGCGUCUUCUAUAAUAGGUUUAUUAUAUUUUCCAGUAAUGAACUAACUUUGUCCUUCACGGAAAGUGCCCUGAGAACACUUUGUCUCCAGGACCUAUAUCCACUUCCAUCAAAUACCAAUACGGAUACCACACUUUCAGAUGGAUGCAUGUACAAAGGACUGUUUGAAUCUGUAGUUUCCUUCCAUGAAUUUACCAAAUUUUUUGUGUUUUCAGCCAUAGAUGGAUAACUUUGAGCCCAUCAAAUCACAAUUUUCACUAUAGAGGAGAGAAAAAUGAAUGAUGAGCAGAGUAAAUUACAGAAAUCAAUGAAUUUUUGAGCUAAACUAAAGAAGAAAAAAGGAGACUGGACAGAGUAAAAUGGCAGGAAAAUAGUAAUCUGGAAGCUAAAUCAAACUACUACAAGCUAAGAUUUGAUCGAUAAUUGCAUCCUCGCUCUGAUAUCAUGACAAAAUCUUAACCUAAUGAAAGCAAAAUAGCUGAAACAGAGACAAAGGC
rnacentral:lncRNA from 1 species